CCUUCAUCUCCCCCACGUCUCCCCGUAUCUCUUUGUAUGAUAUUCAUCCCCAUCUAACUCUUACCCCAUAUAUCAUUUCUUUUUUUUUUUUUUCUCUCUCUCUCUCUCUCUUAAACAUACAAUCCAAAGUGUUUGAUUUACUUCAAAGCCUUUUUUUUUUAACUUAACAACUUUAAGAGACUAAAACUGUAAUGAUAUUUCGUUUUAAGACCCAAUGCCAUUUCUCGUACUUUUUUUGCUUCGGUACAGAUCUCAUACCGGACCUCACUGUGUUUAUGUAGUAGUGGUUUCUUUUUUUAAUUUUAUGAAUAAUAUUUAAAGAUAUUUUGUUUAUGUUUCUUUAUUUUUGAGAGGUUAAGUACUCAAAAUUUGACAUUUUUUACUCUUAAUUCUUGUGGUUAUUUGCAGCCAAAGAGGAAUUUAGAAUAUCUGUUGUGUUAAAUCGAGUACAUGAAUGUGGAAGUUAUUCAAGAGUAAAUUUAUUAGAUAAGUGGUUACAUUAGAAUUAUUCUUGUAUUCCGAGUAGACUUUUCAUGUUGGAUAGAUUUUACUUUAUUUAUGUAUUUUCGUUUAUGGAGUUUGUAAUGGGAUAUUAUCUCAAUAUAGUAUUAGUUGUUU